AACGAACGCUGGCGGCGUGCCUAACACAUGCAAGUCGAACGGGAAAACCCGCAAGGGUGAGUACAGUGGCGCACGGGUGCGUAACACGUGGGUAAUCUGCCCAGAAGCCCGGAAUAACUCCCCGAAAGGGGUGCUAAUGCCGGAUGAGACCACGGGGACUUCGGUUCCUGGGGGAGAAGGUGGCCUCUGUGUACAAGCUAUCACUUCUGGAUGAGCCCGCGGCCCAUCAGCUAGUUGGCGGGGUAAUGGCCCACCAAGGCUACGACGGGUAGCUGGUCUGGAGGGAGGAUCAGCCACACUGGAACUGAGACACGGUCCAGACUCCUACGGGAGGCAGCAGUGGGGAAUCUUGCGCAAUGGGCGAAAGCCUGACGCAGCAACGCCGCGUGUGUGAUGAAGGUCUUCGGAUCGUAAAGCACUGUCGGGAGGGACGAAUAAGGGCCGGGUGAACAAUCCGGUUCGACGACGGUACCUCCAGAGGAAGCACCGGCUAACUCUGUGCCAGCCGCCGCAGUAACAC
rnacentral:rRNA from 1 species